ACCCGGGCUUCUGCCGCGUUUGCGGCUCCUCCGCAGCCCUGCUGCCUUGCACGCUCGCCCCCUCGGCUGAGCCGUUCGGGGCUCGCGGGCACGGAGGGAAGUAAGGGUUUCCAGACUGCUCUUCUCCCACUGUUGUUUAAUCAGUUUUCUUUCCCAAAGGAGCUAAAGCAAGUGAAAGCAACUGCCUCAAAUGAAAGUAACUGCGAGUGAAGGCUUUGGGCUGCUUCCCCCAGACCCGAGAGGGAGGCGGGAUCCCACGCUGACCCCGGCAGGAGCAGAUGCAGUGUAAUUGGGUGGCUUGUGGUAACGCCAAGAGGCUCUGACUGAAGCAGAGGGAUCUUUGCCAGCGGUGCUGACGAGCAGCGUAAAUCUGGACGCACCCUACAAUCACUCUUAAUGCAGUUCCAGCCUAUUGCAUCUGAUAACAGACUGAUUCACCUGAAGAACUUUGCAACUCUACCCAGUAUCGUCACCACUGUGGUACAGUUCCACAAUUUUCAAGUCUUCUGGCACAUGUGAUUUUUAUGCUUGUAGGUUGUUGCAAAUCUUGUAUCGAUACACAACAGGUCCUUUGAAAAAUAAAACCCCAAAUACUCCGAAUUCUCCAAACGCAGACAUGCACCAAGGUAUCCUGCCCCUAGGAAUGGUACACGCCAGCUGCCAAAUCCCCGAGACAUCAUGCAGCUCGUGACACUUUUGCCGUGGAUUAUUGAUUGACACUGCGGCCAGCACAGCCUUGGGGAUGCUGCUCCCGCGCGCACAGGCCUGCCCCAGCCGUACCAGUGCGACGCCGUUUGCUUCCGAAAGCGUUAAUCGCUGCAGAAGAGCAAGGAGGAUAAUUGAAGUCUUGUGGGCAUUUGAAAUAGUUCAGCCCCACUCUACCCUGCGAAGACUGUCAAGCUUUAUGUGUUCGAGACAAACAGAAAAUAUUGUUUGAAUAAAGUGUGUGGGGAGAGAGAAAUAGAUUAAAAGCCUGUCCCUGCACGUAGCACCUUUUCCAGAGUGCUGACUGGCAGUUUCUGUUUGGGCAGUAUUUUAGGGAUGAGAGGAUGCUUUCAGAUCUGUCCCUGCUUAGCUCUGAAGAGUGCGAGGAUGGGGGAAGAGGGCUUCUCUGCCGACUGCCUUUAUGGCCCUCCUGCCUUCCAGCAGUGCUGAUCUGGACCUUCAGAGACACAUGCCUACCAACUUUAAGAUGACAGAGAUCCAAAAAGCGAGUGACUCGACCCAAUAGCGAUAUUUUUCUCCAAAUUAUGGACUCAUUCAUUUUCUAUCCUCUUACAAAUGAGGUUCAUUUUAGAUUUGUUAUCCCACCCCUGAGGACUCUCUGCAGCUACUGUUGGUGUGGAGUUGAUCGGAAGAUGACUUCAAACAUGGGUUUACACGGAUAAACUCGGUAGUGUUUAAACCCCAAUAGAAACUGCUGUGUGCAGGAGCUGUAUGUGCUUUAGAUGAUCCCAGAAGAACUGUGCUACUUAUGAGCCACUAUGGAUGUAUAACAUGCUUCCUAAAUAAAGGGAAAUUGCUCCCAUCCUAGUGCUGUGAUAUCUCAAAAGAAAAAAAACUACAAGGAGGAAGGGUUUCUAACAUGAGAACAAGCAACAGCUUUUUGAGUGCCAAUAAGAAUGAGGGAAAAGGGUGUGUGUGUCUUCAGAGCUGAUGAACACUGUGAGAGAGCAGAACCUAAAAAAAGCCCAACAGAGAUGCGAAGAGCCUUGUGGUAUCUGACACACUUGUCCUCUUGACAUGAGAAGACAUUGUAUAAUCACCUGGGAACCAGUGAUAGAUCACAGUUUUGUCACUGGAGCAACAAAAAAUAGAAAAGGAAGAGUAUGGGGCACUUCAGAUGUAUAUUCCCUGAAGCCCUGGAUGUUUUAAAGCACGUAGGAAUACACACACAUAAUCUAGCUUAAAGAGAAUUUCACUGUUUAUAUAAAUGCAACAGAAAGGGUCCAUUACAGGGAAUGAAAUGUAAUGAUAAGCUCUGCUUACUAUUAUGACCAAACUGAUUCCUUAAUCUGCACCAUAAUUUACGUUCAUAUAAGGUUUCAGUCAGGUCAUUUAUUUUAUCUCCUAUUUUGCUGUUUCAAGAAAGAACCAGGAAGAUGAGCUACAAUUUUCUCUCAUUUUAGUUCAAUGCAAUCCUGACGGCUAGGGCCUAAAGUGAAGAGCUGCCCCCUCUCCAGAAGAGCAGGAGGACUUGGCUGGAAGGAGCAGGGGGUGAGCCCCGAGACGCCUGCUUCGCUAUUUAUGUUACAGGGGCUGACAGUCAUCAGUCUCUCCAUCCUGUCCCACCUCUGUGAGUCAUCAGGAUUUACUCACUCUCUUUCGUCUCCUAACCUGGACAUCCUUGGAAGCUGCACAUAAAUAUGCUGGGAUCCUGAUGAGCUGCUAAUCUAGGUGCCAUCAACACAUGCCACUCUCAGAUCCGCUCUCCUGCCUUCGUUCCCGGCAUUCCUAUCCAUCCUGCAAUCACACUAAUCGCAGCAUUGCUGUUACAAAUCUCUGCCUAACAAGGACAGGAACAUGGGAAGGAACUGGGGGUAUUUAUUGGCAGGGAAAGAGGAGCAAGGGUAGGGGAAAGCACAGGAGCAUGAAACAUAGAGCAUAAAUCUGUCAGACACCAGGCUGCUCCCAAAAUACGUUUUUUUAAUUUGGGAGUAGUUAGUGUCAUGCUGUGGUGACACUACUAGGUCUCCCAAAUCAUGGCUCUGUCUAUUCAUCUUUUUCCGGUCCUUCUCAGGUUCAUGCUUUUUGUACAUGAGCUUGUCUUUCCCAUGGUCUUUAGGUGAAGUCAUGGAAAGCUCUCUGUGGCUCUUCCUCCCUGUUUAGAGUGCGUGGACGUAUCUUAUAUUUAAUCACUUAGCAUCUCCCCUUUCUAUAAUAAUCUCUUCAGCUGCAUCAUGUAGUGGUGGACAUGAUGCUGCAGCCAUGGGCUGAUGCAACUACCCUUUGGACUGCAAUUCCCUCUGGUUUCUCUCCUGUUUCACCCAAACUUCUCAGGAGCUGCUUCUUUCUUUCCACAUGCUGUCCUCUAUCUCUGUGACAUUCAUUGUCAGUCAAAGUUUUGGGGGAGGAGUGUGAGAGAGCUGGAUUUAUUUGUUUUUUCUGUUAGUGGUUCCAAGGUACAUGCUUUGCUGAAUUACCAGUAGUGCCUGCACAGUCCUAAUGACCCUUCACUUCUGCCCCUUCAUUUGUGCUUGGAGCUGUUUGAAUCAGGAGCACCUGGCUGGAGACAAAGGCUGUCUGUGUGCUCCCGCAAAGAGCAGUAAUGCGCCUACUGCUUCAGCCCUCCGCUUCCUCCUGGAGCAUUUAGCACAAGGGUCUUCAGCAGGCUUUGGCACAGUUAAACACCUGCUCCAAAAAUCUGCUGAGCGCCAGAGUCCGGUGGAGUACAGCAGCCCAUUACCGCUUGCUUUGGGAAACGCUGGUCUCAUACUAAUGCAGCAGUUGUGAGCCUCUGAUAGAAAAUGCUCCAAAUGCAAAUUUUAAUCAAUGCUAUUUCCUUAUAAAUCAGUCCCUCUAGCUCCUUAAUUAUCAGUGCCAGUCUCUGAAUUGCCAUUAUACUUCUGAUAUUGAGGUCUAGACUGAAAGUGGUAUCUUCCUGUGCUGCACAGGAAAGGAUUUUCUCUUUGCUGCUCUGUUAGGGAUCGGAGCACACAACACGGAGCUGAUUAGCGUGCUUUCCUCUCUCCCCUGCACAGGGCUCCAUUACUGUGGCUUUCCUACUGCAAAGCUACUUAUUUUUUAUUCUUCUUAAAAAAUAUCCUACAUGAUGCUUCUGCAGUAUUGUCAUUUAUAACUAUUUCUAAGAAAUGACAAAAUAAAGUCAACAUCAGGCUUAUUUUAUUAUGCAGUUCAUAAAUAAUGUGAUCAUACCUGCUGUUUCCCUUUCCUCCUGUGCUAUAACAUUUUUGCAGCCUCCUGCUUCUUCAUAGCAACAUAAAAUCUCUAGAUCAAUAAAAAGAAAGUGAAUUUUCACUGGAAUGGCUUACAGACAUCCAGGCUUUCAAAAACACUGUGAAAUAAUUCCCUUCGCCAGUAAAAUAGAUGUGAAAUUCUUUGGCAAGCAAAUACAUGUUCUGCUUUGCUAUAUGUAAUAGAAUAAAAAAAAGGAAGUAUGAUUCUUAUACUAUACUUGUUUGGAAAAUAAUUGUAUGCAACCUGUUUCCAUUACCAAUAAGCACAGCUUAUUUAUUUUUUUAACAACGUAAAAAUAAUCGUAUGUUUUUAUUAAGUUAUUUAGUUUCCUUAUGACUGGAUGUAACCUUGUUAUAU